GUCUUUUACUCUCGCACAAAAACAUUGGUAUUAACUCUGUAAAUUGAGACCAGAAAAGGAGUGACUAUAUUUUGAAAAAAAUUUAAACCAACUCAAUUUUGAUUCCUUUAUUCCGCUUACUUUAAAUACCGAUAUCUAAAUUGAUUAGCCGGACAUGCUAAACAUGCCUAAUUAAUAAUCAUGCAUAAAUACGGCCAUAUCAAACAGACAAUAUAUAUAAACAAC
rnacentral:lncRNA from 1 species